rnacentral:rRNA from 1 species
GACGAACGCUGGCGGCGUGCUUAACACAUGCAAGUCGAACGGAAAGGCCCUGCUUUUGUGGGGUGCUCGAGUGGCGAACGGGUGAGUAACACGUGAGUAACCUGCCCUUGACUUUGGGAUAACUUCAGGAAACUGGGGCUAAUACCGGAUAGGAGCUCCUGCUGCAUGGUGGGGGUUGGAAAGUUUCGGCGGUUGGGGAUGGACUCGCGGCUUAUCAGCUUGUUGGUGGGGUAGUGGCUUACCAAGGCUUUGACGGGUAGCCGGCCUGAGAGGGUGACCGGCAACAUUGGGACUGAGAUACGGCCCAGACUCCUACGGGAGGAAGCAGUGGGGAAUAUUGCACAAUGGGCGGAAGCCGGAUGCAGCAACGCCGCGUGCGGGAUGACGGCCUUCGGGUUGUAAACCGCUUUCGCCUGUGACGAAGCGUGAGUGACGGUAAGGGGUAAAGAAGCACCGGCUAACUACGUG